rnacentral:lncRNA from 1 species
CUAGCCACGUGUGGCUAUUGUGCACUUGAAAUGUGGCCAGUGUGACUGAGGAACUGAAUUUCUUUUAGCUUUAAUUAAGUGUAAAUAGCCAUACAUAGCUAGUGGCCAGCAUACUGGACAGGUCAAAUUUAGAACCUCUUCUUUCUGCCACUGUUGACUAUGACAAAAGAACGAGUCAUAGAGAGGAAUGGACUUCUCCCAUUCUACUGGAGCAACCUGGAGAACACUUGGGCUUCGAAGGCCACUUCCCUCUGCUCCCCAGGGCCUACCCCACUGGCUUCAGACGAGUGACUGAGGGCAAGAAGGAAGAGCCAGGAUUCUGUCUACAUGUGUGUACAUGUCUACUGGAUCACAGUAUAAAGUCUAUCUCUGAAGCAGAUGGAGGUAAAAUACCUUGGAGAAUCUGAGGUGUCGUUCCCAGCUCUCUUUAGGACCUGAGACUGACUCUGGCUCCAAGGCUUUCAGCUCUGGUCUUUCAGUGCUCUUGGUUGCCCCAUGCUUGCUGGGCAGGAUUCUGCAUAUGUGAUUUUAAAGAUAUUUUUAUGCCCUUCUUCCUGGCGGGCAGAGGCUGGGGCCAGGCAUCAGGAAGCACAUGGCUCAAAGAGAAGGCAGUCACGGACUUAGGUGGCAGGGACCCCAGGUAGCACACGAACAUCAGGACCUCCAAACCAAAUGAUGAUGGGCUUGAACCCCUCCACUCCGACGAGUCUCUGUUUAGGGAAGACAUUUUUGUGCCCAGAAUCAGUGAGAUCCUCUGUGGGGUGGGCUGGCCAGAAUUUCUAAAAGCAGUACUUACGAAGACUGUUUUUAGCCCUUAGAUAGUUUCAGAUGGUCUCUGUGGCAUUUACUACAAUCACAAAUGGGAAAGCCAGCA